AGAAAACCUAAACCAUAUUCAGCGGGAAAUCCAGAACCCUAACUUUCCAUCUUCUCUUCCACUUUCUUCCUCUGUGAAUCUCCCUAAACCCUAUUCAGCCGAAAAUCCAUAACCCUAACUUUCAAUCUUCUCUUCCACUUUCUUCCUCUGUUAUUCUCCUUUCUCAUUCUUGUUUUUUUUUUCAACUUGAGCUCGCGAAAGAUAUCUUUCCCGUUUCUCUUCUCGGUUUUUGUUCUUUCGUAGUCUAAUCUAUUCAACUUUAUUUUUGUUUGUUGCAGAGAUUAAUGCCAUUUGUUAACUAAUUUUAUGAGUUUCACUUGGGUGUUGGAAGGUAAAAGUCCAUGCUAUUGCAACUCACAGAGCAAGAAAAUGGAAGAUUAAUUUGGGUGUUGCUUCACCUGCUGUAGGUGACGCAAUCAAGUGUGAUUUGGGGGUUUUAUGGAUUAACUUGCAGUGAGUCUCUUGCUUUCUGGUUUAAUUCCGCAGCUAAAGGAGGAAGAAGAAGUUGAAGAAUGGCGAGAGAAAACAGACAGAAGUCUGGACCAAAACAUGUUAUCCAGACAAUAGUUUGGAUAAAAAAUGUUUGGGAUGUCCAUGUGUAUAUGCGUUUUAGGAAGAAAAGCAUAAUCAGAAAGAUGAUGACGAGGAAUAAAAGAAAAAGAUUUUCUAUAAUUAGUAAAGUGUUUAGAAGUGAUUUUUAGUAAUGGGCAUCAAGGAAGGUACACUCCAGAAGAAUAUGGUGGAUAUUCAAAUUGAGGACAAGGAGCUGAGAGGGAUAAAGACAGUGGAAAUCGUGGAAUGUCCGCCCAUCGAUCAGAAAACCUUUUUUAGCUGUAACUGCAAAUGAUAAUGCACUAAAAUAUUGGCAUCCAGUGAUGGACUUCGUUUUGAUGCGCACAUUUAAGACGUUAACUAAGCCUGCAACAUAUCAGGUGUAGCAAAGACCGGAUGAUCAACUGGAUGUUCCACUACCUAUAUUGGAUGAAGCAAAAACUUUGAUCAGUUGUGCCUUGAAUUUUUAAAAAUAGGAAAAAAUAUUAAG